rnacentral:rRNA from 1 species
CCGGCGACCGGCGCACGGGUGAGUAACACGUAUGCAACCUGGCCGUCACAGGUGGAUAACCGGAAGAAAUUCCGACUAAUACAGCAUAACACUCCUGAGGGACAUCCCUUGGGAGUCAAAGGAGGCAACUCCGGUGACGGAUGGGCAUGCGGUGCAUUAGGUAGUUGGUAGGGUAACGGCCUACCAAGCCGACGAUGCGUAGGGGUUCUGAGAGGAAGGUCCCCCACAUUGGAACUGAGACACGGUCCAAACUCCUACGGGAGGCAGCAG